UCUCUUCAGUUUUUUCUAGAAUAUUAUUUAAAUAAAGCCUGACCAAAAAUAUAAUAAAAACUUGCUUUGGGGGCGCCACUAGUAUGUCUAUGGUCACUAAAUAUUUAUUAUGGUCUUGUAUAAAUUAGUUCCACGGGUUUUCUACAAUAUAGCGAGGU